UGCCAGCAGCCGCGGUAAUACGGAGGGUGCUAGCGUUGUUCGGAAUUACUGGGCGUAAAGCGCGCGUAGGCGGCUUGGUAAGUUGGGAGUGAAAUCCCGAGGCUCAACCUCGGAAUUGCUCUCAAAACUGCUGAGCUAGAGUAUGGUAGGGGACAGUGGAAUUCUUAGUGUAGGGGUGAAAUCCGUAGAUAUUAAGAGGAACACCAGAGGCGAAGGCGACUGUCUGGGCCAUUACUGACGCUAAGGCGCGAAAGCGUGGGGAGCAAACAGGAUUAGAUA
rnacentral:rRNA from 1 species